rnacentral:rRNA from 1 species
CCCUUAGAUGUUCUGGGCCGCACGCGCGCUACACUGAUGCAUUCAACAAGCCUAGCCUUGACCGAGAGGUCCGGUUAAUCUUUGAAACUGCAUCGUGAUGGGGCUAGAUUAUUGCAAUUAUUAAUCUUCAACGAGGAAUGCCUAGUAAGCGUGAUUCAUCAAAUCGCGUUGAUUACGUCCCUGCCCUUUGUACACACCGCCCGUCGCUCCUACCGAUUGAAUGUGUUGGUGAGGAGCUCGGAUUGGCAGCAGUUGGUGGUUCGCCACCGGCUAUUGCUGAGAAGUCCUCCAAACCGCCCCAUUUAGAGGAAGGAGAAGUCGUAACA